GCUGCUCAGCCAAUGCUGUGGUCUUGAUGGGACUGCAUUCGCUUUACAUGAUUGAAGCGGCUGGCGUGGAAGCUGUGCCAUGUCAUGUAAAGCAUGCAGUGGGAAAGCAGUGGGGUGGGGGCGUCUUUGUAUUACAUCAUCUGUUGUUGCCGUUUAAAAAUCCAGAGGCCUUUCUACACUUCAGUUGGAUGUUGAUUUCAAAAUGACCGAUGUUUCUUUCUGACUCAUGAAGGCUGCUGUCUUUGGAAUCUGACAUUAGAGGGAAGCGAAACUUUACAAUGUGUGGGGCAGCCUGGUGUGGUGGCUCAGGUCUGUAAUCCAGCACUUUGGGAGGCCAAGGAUGGCGGAUCACUCGAGCCCUGGAGUUUGAGACCAGCCUGGGCAACAUGAUAAGACCCCACCUCUACAAAAAUACAAAAAUUAGCUGGACACGGUGGUACACACCUGUGGUCCCACUACUCAGGAGGCUGAGUAAUUGGGUCCAUAGUGUAGGUAAGUCACCUCCUUUAAGAGACUUUGAUAAGCAAAAUGGUGAAUAUAUUCUUUUUAUUUAUUAUUAUUUUUUAUUUUUGAG
rnacentral:sRNA from 1 species